ACUAACGUAGGAGCAGUAGGUGCUGCUCGCUCUAUGCAUAUACAGCCGUACUGAAUUAUUCACCCUUGUCUUUUGCGUACUUCUUGUUUCCUUGGUGGGUUCGCCCACCACUAGGACAAACAUAAACCUUUUGUAAUUGCAAUCAGCGUCAGUAACAAAUUAAUAAUUACAACUUUCAACAACGGAUCUCUUGGUUCUGGCAUCGAUGAAGAACGCAGCGAAAUGCGAUAAGUAGUGUGAAUUGCAGAAUUCAGUGAAUCAUCGAAUCUUUGAACGCACAUUGCGCCCUUUGGUAUUCCAAAGGGCAUGCCUGUUCGAGCGUCAUUUGUACCCUCAAGCUUUGCUUGGUGUUGGGCGUCUUGUCUCUAGCUUUGCUGGAGACUCGCCUUAAAGUAAUUGGCAGCCGGCCUACUGGUUUCGGAGCGCAGCACAAGUCGCACUCUCUAUCAGCAAAGGUCUAGCAUCCAUUAAGCCUUUUUUUCAACUUUUGACCUCGGAUCAGGUAGGGAUACCCGCUGAACUUAAGCAUAUCAAUAAGCGGAGGAAAAA
rnacentral:rRNA from 1 species